rnacentral:sRNA from 1 species
ACUUGCCCCAGAUGGAAGUGAAAACCCCGCAGGGCUAUAUCUUAUUUUUUCUUGCCCCAAAAGAGCGACCAGAGGAAGCUCCUUUUGAGACAUUGGAAAAAAAGGGGAUAGACCGAGGAGUUGUAACGGAUAGCUGGAUUAGGC